UGGAAGCGUUUGUGGAGGCUCAGUGGUAGUAGUUUCACAUUCAUCUCCUCCCAAUUUAUUCCUCUUUUUCUCCCUGCUCAGGCAGUAAUGCUGCUCAAGAGCAGCAUUCAGAUACCCCCAAAUCCUGUGAGAUGUGCUGGAAUUGAUGUGAGGAGUUGCAGCAAGUAAGUCAUACUGGAAGUUCUCCUGAACAAACAAGUCAGUGUCUCCACAUGUUCAGAGUCUCUGUCAGUUGUAAAGCUAGCAGCUAAUUUGUGCUGUAAUUUCACAGAGCUGCUUCGUGCGCCCAAGGAGUUUACCAUCUAUAAAUAUUCUCAAUAACGAAUUUGGAUCUAAAAUUGGGCUCCGUUCCUGAUGCCUAGAGCUUAAGGCAGCCCCAUCUGUUAUAGCUUAAUAGUAAACUCAUCAGAAGAUAUUUCAGUUUAGUGUUUUAAUAUUCCCCGUUUGGCAUUUAAAAGUACUACUGUCAGAACCAAGAAAGCGGUGAAAGAGGCAGAGCUGUGCUGUGCUCGCAGUGAGCCAGAGACCUGCAAACGUUAAAGAGAUUUCAAGGAAACUCCUCCCUUCUCUCCUGAAAAGCAAAAAGUGUGGAAGUGGAAAAGCAGACAGACUCUAUCCGUCGUGCUGUUUUGAGAUUGCAAGGCGAAGUUUUUCCACAGAGCCUGCAUGGAAGUGGGGUGGCGGCUGAGAGAAGAUGCGUCCCUGAUGUGCCCUCUCUCUGUGUGUUGUGGGGAGGGCUCAGUGUGGCGCUGAGGCCCACAUCUCAAAGCCAGCCCUGCGUAUGGUGGGACACGGGAACUAAAGCGCCCUGAGAACAGGCCCUUGUGUGAAGGUCUCACCGUGAUGUUUAACAUGGCGACAAUGUAAAUAAAUGAGGAAAGAGAGGGCUAGCAAAAAAAAUGACACCAGGUUUAUAUCACGAAUACAGACACACUAUUAUUUCCUCCAUGCGGCAAAAGCGAAAUGUGAAUUUGUGGGGCUCUACACCUGGCGUGCCGUGCGUGCGGGGAAAUGGAAGGGAGCCACCAUGCUUCCUCCAAGAUCUGAAAUAAACAUUCAGCAGUAAAACCUAGAAGAAAAUGAGUCUGACAGACUCGUUCUCCUGUGCGCUUCCUGCCGCUGUGCUUGCCAGGCUGGCUGUUCGGGGCCAGGCCGUGCCCCCUGUGGGUAGGGCUUGUGGAGGAGGAGAGACAGGAGCUAUGAGGUGAGAAGAGAAGCACAGGUUAGUUUCAGAGGGUUCUAACUAGUGAAAAUUUGGGAAAACGAUGCAUUGCAAUGUAAAAAGUCAAGCCAUAGGUGUACUGUUACGAUGAAAUGAAUGCUGAAGCGGAAAUGAAUGUGAUUAUAUUUUUACUGCCUCACAUAUAAGUCAGCCCCAUGAAGGAGAGGAACUGUAGGCAGGGCAAAUUACUACACUUUUCUUUGUCUUUCCUAUGAAUAGGAAGCAAAUUCAAGUCAAAAUGCCAACAGGGAUAACAGCUAGCCUGGAGCUUCUGAAGGAGAGGGCAUUUCUGCCUAGUACAAGAAUAGAGCAAUCAUACUCACACGUUGCCCUGCAGGAGUGAGGAAUGGUCUGGGGCCUAACAGGGGACAGAAAGAGAGAUUGGUGAGAAAGGAGACCUUCUCGCAAGGUGUGGUGAGGUUUGGUGCUGUCAUUUCACUGGGAAACCUUGAGUCUGAAUUCCAGAUUUCAGCUGAGCAGCGGGGCUGCUGCAAAGGGCUUUGGAAUGAUGGACAAGCUUUUCACUGGCGUGCUGGUCCUUCGUGGUGCCUCAGCCCUGUGGCAGGGCUACAGAGUUCAGCUGGCAGCCUCCAUCAUGCAGACCCUCUGCAUCCUUUUGGGGAUUGUGUCUAAAGGCAAGCAUGGGCUAGGUUUGUGCCUUUGCUGUCUGGUGCACAGAAGCUUGGAAUUGCAACUCCAUGCAAUGUGUGCUCCAUCCUAUCAUCCACUUGUCCUCACUUUGCAUUCCAGUUGGGUUUUGACAGGUCCAUCAUCUCUGAGUUCAGCCUGUUCCCCUCUAGUGUGUUCCAUCACUGCUUCUUCCCCUCUCCUAUUCCAACGUCAGGUCCCUCAUGCUUGCUUUUCUCAAGCACCAUGUUUACAAUCAUCACCCUUCCUUUCACUAAGCCUUCGAAGCUUCAUCUUUCAUUAAGCUUCUGCAGGUACAAGUUGUGUAUUAAUUGUCUUGCUUCCUUUCUUCUACUUCAUCAACAAAUGAAGCUUUUUUUCCUCCUGCAUUCACACAGAGAAAAAUUUUCUCACUUCAUUAUUUGUAUUUUGAUUAUUGCCAUCACACUAGUCUUCGCACAUUCCUUACUGUUAUCGUAUAUUGAAUGCACUUUGUCUGGCCUACUGUUGAAAUGGGAAGAAAGAGCUCAUGGUAAUGGUGACAUGAUAGUGGUCAGCAUCAGGACGAUAGCUUCAGUGAGCACGUGCAUGACUGUUAUCUGGACAGACAAGAUAUUACAUACCCCACAGAUGGCUAUUUUAAUCAGUGGUCUGAGGGAAGGUGAAUUUGUAGGUCUGUGGAUGCUCAUCUAUGCAUGGUAGUUAGUGUGGAACUAACUAUCUCAUAGUUAGUUCCAUAUCUCAGCUUUGACCGUCAGUUUGUCAAGGAUAGGUGCUUUUUCUUCGUUUUCUAUGUACAGAGUGCUCUGUAAUGAAGUCCUGGCUGCUAGCAACUGGGAGAACAGUGUUAAGGAUAAUAACUGUCACUGUAAUAGGCAAGGCAAACUAUGAAGGACAAUGGCUUAACAGUGCGGUCAGUUUUUCAUUUUUAUUUUUUAACUCAAACAUCCUUGUUGAGGAAUCGCUGUGUUAAAAAGAUACCUUUGUUGCCACUGAUAUGUGACCUCCUUCUAUUCUGGCUGAAAUUAAUUGUAAAGACCCUGGUAAUUCAUUUAUUUAUUUUCUUAAGGAGUCAAGUCUCUGUUAAGACUCAUUUCAAAAUCAAGUAUAUCUUUUUGUUGUUGUGACUGUUCAUUUUUCUGCAUGGCUCAUCAUGAGCAGAAAAAUGAGACUUGAAAGGUACUCAAGCUUUGUGCCAUUGCAGACCCAACAGUCAUUUUGACUAGAUUCUGAGGAGGGAGAGUACUUUGUUGCAGAAGAGUAUAAACACACACUGCCUUGCUUACGUAUUCCUUGACAAAUAAUUAAAAAUUACUCAUCUCCUGAGUUGAUCAACAGUGCAAAUAAAACACAAAGCAUCCACAGGAGGUAAAUUCAGAGCUACUCGGUUAAUUGGGUUGUGUGGCAUUUUAGUCAGGCAGCCUUUUGUCACUUGGCCUCCACCUUGCUGCAUUCAUCUCUGCGGCUGUGUCUCUGUAACUGAAAUGUGGCAAAGCAAGGGAAGGUGCUGGAGCUUUCUUUUGGCACUCUGUGGAUUCUGUUGGAUUGUUCCCAUUACAUCUCCAGAACAUUUCCAUGUUGGAGUCUCAUGGGCUGGAGAAGGGGGAGUUGUAUUUGCAUUUUCAGCAACAAGAGAAGAGUUUUCUAAAAAGUCAAAAGUCCCCAAAACUUUAGAAAAAAAUCCACGAACACUUUUGUUAUUGUUUAAAAUGCUCACAAAAUGGCAUUGUUCAUGUGAGAAUUUAAAUAUAUGUUUUAGAAAUACGGGUAGGUAAUAACCAUAUUACGCUGCAGAGUGUUCUUUGUUGCAAACUGUAAGAUUGACUUAGUUGAGGCAUAAUGGACUGUCAUAGGCAUAAUGCUGGAUCUAGGCAUUGACAUGGAGCAAUGACACAUUUUCUGGCCAUUUGGGGCUGUAUGGGAGAGCCAGAGAAUCAAGACUUCCAGCAGGAGGUCAAGUGAAAGGGGAAAAAGCAGGGAAACUGAUGCUCCACAGAUCUGUUGUGAGCUUUUGUCUUGGGCUCCCUUUUUCUGGAGUGUGUGUUUGUAGCACAAGCACCACAAGGGAUACUCCUGUAAGGGUACAAAUGACCUGAGCGUGUUGGGUACGGUCUCUCUCCAGCUCUCCCCGAGUGGCAGGAACACCUCUCUGAUCUGCUGUGAUGGAUGAGCAGGCAGCAGUGCAGCUCGGCUGUUCUGGGGCAGGGUGCCUGCUGCAGCUUGGGAUUCGGAAGCAAUUAGAAUCUGAUUAAUUUUAUUUAUUUAUUUAAAUGACUCGAGAAUUGCUGUGUUCCAUCAUUAGCCUCGCUCCCACUCAAAAACUGAGCUACUGCAGUCGCUAGAGGAAAUCUUGCAACCCAUAUGCCAUUUAUUUUGAAUGGGUGUCGUGUUCUGCUUGCUUUCUUUACUGGUAGCCAGUCACAGGAAGAUUGUUUAUCAGGAUUGUUAUUUUAGAUGUCAAGAUCUUAUGGUGAAAUCAAGUUGGAAUGCCUUAUAGAAGGGAUAAUAAAAUAAAAGUAAAAAUGAAGAGUCCAAACUGAAAGGCUUUGUUUGUGGCUGUUUCUUUUCAUUUUACGUUUGUCGUCUUACUUUAAGCUGACCUCUGCAGUGACAACAAUUCAUUAGCUGUUCUCCUCCAGGAGUUUCCUAAACAUAUAAGCCGUGGCUCUGUGGUGCUCUCCGGUCUUACAAAGCUUCGUUGCCUGGCUGCAGGGCUCUUGACUUAUUCCACUAAAUCUCCCGGCCCAGUAAUGAGCCUUUCCUACAGAAAUAUUGUUGACACAUGACCUGCAGGACGUGGCUUGUAGUAGAGACUGAGAGUUAUGACAACCAUGUUCCAUAUUUUGCAUUUCCAUAAAAACAUAAAAUAUAACCGCAGUGCUGCUUGGAAAUUGUUUUAAGAAUAAAUAUGUCAAGGCAGAGAAAAGGCUUUCUUAAAAAAAUCAGGGAGAUUUUUACAGUAAAAUGCUUUCAUGGUAAAGAGUUUUUAAGUGCUUUGGCUGAGCAGAAGUUUGUAACUGAGGAAAAUUUCUUCACUGUGAUUUUAUUUCAUUUGGUUCACGUGCACCUCAAGGAACUGUAAUUGUGUCAGUGACCUACUCCAGCUGAAAGGGCUGUAGUGCAGUAAGAUUGAUUAACUGCUGCCUGAAAAAAUCAUAGUUUUCUGUUACUUUCUUGCUGCAGUCUUAAAUGUUUUAUGGGAAUACAGACAAAUUUUUGUGACGAAUGUAUGGUAAAAUAUUUCUGACGUCGAAUGCUGAAGCAAAAAUCAUAAAUAACUCUCCUUUUUAUUUUCUUUAAAUUAUGGAUGUGUGAGUCUUUGUCAUAAUUACAUGUGCCAGUCUGAGAUUUAAACGUAUUACACUUUAUACAGUUGACUUAUGAAAUGCACAUUAGUCUUUGAGGAGGUGGGACAAACCUGACACUUCCUCAUGUAGCACAGAUACCGUUCGAUUUAUGCAGUCCUCCCUUCAUUCCAGAUGGUUAUUGAUUACAUAAAUAAGUAGGUAAUUUUUCUCUUUCAGAACUUCGCAGAAAACACUAUGAAUGAGCUCCUUGGCUGGUAUGGUUAUGAUAAGGUUGAACUGAAAGAUGGAGAAGAUAUUGAAUUCAGGAACUACUCUGCAGAUGGGGAAAGCCGCCAGCAUAUUUCUGUUCUCAAAGAAAAUUCUUUGCCAAAACCAAAAUUACCUGAGGACAGUGUUAUUUCACCAUACAAUAUAAACACAAGCUACCCAGGGCUUGCCACGGGAAAUGGACUUUCAGACUCACCAGCAGGGUCAAAGGAUCACGGGAAUGUACCUAUUAUUGUCCCAUUAAUUCCGCCACCUUUCAUAAAGCCACCAGCAGAAGAUGAUGUGUCAAAUGUACAAAUAAUGUGUGCCUGGUGCCAGAAAGUUGGAAUCAAGCGCUAUUCCCUGAGUAUGGGAAGUGAAGUGAAAUGCUUCUGCAGCGAGAAGUGCUUUGCAGCUUGCCGAAGAGCAUAUUUCAAGAGAAACAAGGCUUUCACAGUUGUGCUGCACAACACCACCAAAUCAGGUGGCUGAGAGCUCAUGGAACUACAUACCACAGAACCACAGUGUGGUUUUGUGAGGAAGGAUACCUCAGAGACCACCCAAUCCAAUUCCUCUGUCAUGGGCAGGGACAUGUCUCACCAGGUCAGGUUGCUCAAAACCCUGUGCAACCUGGCCUUGAACUCUUCCAGUGAUAAGUCUGAUCAUUUGCAUCUUAGAGGAUUACACUAGAGUUUCAAAAAAAAGAGUGAUGCUUAGAUCUUUGUGAGAUAUUGGGCUUGAAUGAUUUCAUCAUUUGGUAGUAAUGGUCAGUUUUAAUUGGCUGUUGUCAAAUGGUUGAAUGUUAUGCCCCCAUUUGUCUCCAUUUGUCAAUAUCAAUGCCUCGAUAAAGUUAAAUGCUUUCGGUUUUAUCUAAUGCAUAGGCCUUAAAACAACAGAGGACCAUGCUCCUAACUUCAGUGCCGCUGUAUGGCAACUUAUCCUGAUUGAAGUGAGGAUAAGGAGCUCUGAAGGAGAAGUCUCUGAAAUAAUGAGGAAAAGGGUUAAGCAAGAGAAAGUUUAAAAAGGGAAAAAGAAGCAUUGAAUCACUCUGGAGGCUAUUUAAGAACACCAUAUUAGAUGCACAGAUGGUACAUAUACCUCUGAGCAAGGAAAAAGUAGAAAGGGGAGAGUAAAUCUGGCAUAGUUAUGUGAAGAAGUGCAUAAGCUUAAAGGGACACUGUCAACUUAAAAUCACACUUUCAUUGGAAAAUUUGUUAUCUACUACUGUUGCAAAAAACACCUAUGAUUACUGUAGCUGAGAGAUGAGACAAAAACUCGUUCUGUUUUAUGGUGCUCUUUCUUUGGGCCUGAUCCAAAUUCCAUCGGCGUCACUGGACCCCCCCACUGAUUUUCCUGAGCUUUGGAUCAGGCCCUCUGCAUGUUUGACUGUACAUUGUGUACAGGCUGUUUCAUUAUUUUGCACGUGGUCUGCUUUCACAUUGUUUCUGUGGUUUUUCACACAGCAAGAGUGGAAAAAACGUUUUUUUCCAAAUUUGAAAUGUGGUUAUUAAACUAUGGAAAUGCCAGUGGGGUCCCGAGCACACUUGUACCAGAAAUACCAAAUGUGUGACUUUUUUAAAGACAAAGCUCGUCCUUCAAAAUAUCUCUGAACGUGAUCAGGUCAGUUACAACAAAUAUAGUGCACACUGGAAAUAAAAGAACAGGGAAGUUAUUGGAAGGACACGUACAUGGUGCUGCAAAAGGUGUAGAAAAAGCAUCUAAAAAAAGUAAAAAGCUCCCUUGAAAGUCCCCAGCUCUCAUAGGCUACCCAGCAGUGACUCUGCCCCCUUCUGAAAUAGUGGAACAGCAGAAAAGCUCAAUUAAUUUUGUGUCCACCUUCACCACAGAGGAUGAUGAAGAAAUUCCUGUUCCAAGGACAUUUUUCACAGGAAAUCAGAGUGUGGCCUUAUAACAGAGAUUGAAGUCUCUUAGGAGGAAGUUAUGGAGCAACUUCAGCAACUCGAGUGCAGUAAAUCACCAGGACCAGAUGGUACUCAUCCGAGUGUUCCUAAGGAAAUAAAAGUGUGAAGCAGCAGAGAUAUUGACAAGGAUCUGCAAUGUAUCAUUAAAACCAGCAACUGUUCCUGAAAAUUUGGGAGUCAUUUGUAUGGUGUUUAAAAUAAAAAUAAAAGAGAGAGAGAGAGAAACUAAAAGAGAUAGGGAGAUUACUUUCUUCUUAGGCACCAGAAGUGAAGGUGAGAAUUCCUAAAUAUUUUUUAUUUUAUUGAUCUAAUGGCAGAACAAGGUAACUUUCAGUUAGACAUGCCCUGGCAGGUUGUAACACAAAGAAAAACAUCGCUUAUUGUAAAUAGACAAAGAUAUUUAGGUGAACAUAGUUUAUUUGGACUCCAGAUCACAUUUGCUGUAUAAGGUUGUUUAUUUCUGAUGUGUUGUUUGAUGUCGACAAGUAGUUUGAUGCAAACAGUGAAUGCAUUUUGGCACAGAAGCAUGCAUUGCUCCACAUUUCUGUAUGAGGAUGGACAUUUAAACAUGAGGCUGAUCAUAUCCCACAGGAACCUAGCGUAGUGCAAAUGCAAAAAUUACUUUACGCUGCUGAGAAAUGCUUUAUAUGCAUGACAAAAGUUUAUAAUCCAACUUACUAGAGAAAAAUGAAUUGUUUGUAGAAAAAAGCUUAAUUUUUCAACAGAAAACAGAGACUUUAACACACAAAGCCCACUUCACCCAAUCCCCACUUUCUGCCACAUGGGCAACAAGGAGUAACAGAGGAGUACAGAGGUUUUGCCAAACAAAUACAGCUAGUAUGUACACACAUGCACAGAAAUGAGAUGAGGGAGGGAAAUUAGAAGUUCUAAUGGAUUUAGAAUUUAGUGAAGCACUUGAAAUAGCAUCUCACAAAAUCUUACCCUCAGAUUAAUUCAAAUUACUUUGGAUGUGAACACUGUCAAGUGGCUUGAAAAUGGGCUCAAGGAAUAAAGCAAAAGGUGGUGAUAAAGAGCAGCAUAUCAGGUUGUGGAUAGAGAAGGACUGGAGGGAUGUGCAUUAGGUUGGUCUUGUUUCAUGUUUCAUUAAUGAUCUCCAGGAGAGAACAGGCAGUGUGUUCACAAACUCUGCAGAUGAUGCUAAGCUAAGAGGAGUUGCAGAUACAAAAUAAAUAAAUAAAUAAAUAAAAUCUGUGGAGGAAUUAAAAUAAUGAAAAAAAAGCAACUAAAUUACUUUCACUUUGAUAAAAGCAAAUUAAUAUACCUAGGGAAAAAAACAAACAAACAACUCUGAAACAACUAUCUUAGUAGAAUGAGCAAAGCUGGACCACAAGCUGAAGCUGAAGCUAAUUACAGGUAAUAAAUCAGACCCUGGUGACGUAGCAGUAGUGAAGCAGUCAUGAAUGGGUUCUGUAGCAUUAAGGCUGCUGAGAAGGCUGCCAUGUGGCUGGGAUGUACCGACUGAGCAAAGAGCAAAGGGGCUUAGAGGCAGCAUGGUGGGUAAAGCUAAAAAUGUACAGUCUGAGGUGGUUAAAAUUGGUGAUUCUUAGCAAAAUGUGUGGCUUGGCCAGGUAACAAGAACAGAAACUAAACCUAAUUUACCAGAGAUAUUGUGUGCCGGGUCAAGCCUCAUAUGCACCCUAUAACCACAGAAAUUAUAGGAUAUUUUUCACUCUGUCCUCCAGAUAGUGGCUGUUGUCAGGUGCAAUUUGCCAGACCAAGUGGACUGAGCAGUAUGGUGAGACCCUGCCUCCCUGCAGAAUGGUUGCCCUGGUGGCAUUGCGAGCCUGUGGGACUUGGUGACACAGUCCAAAUCUAAACUGAAGUGUUCCAUUUGGUCACAAAACACAUAGCUGGUGUGAGCAGACAUGUCUUUGUUAAUAUUGGUGGAGCUAUGUGCAUUGGCUGUGGUUUUGCCCAGUACUGGAGCUGGGCUCCAUUUACUUUUUAUGUGAUCUGGAAAAGAAGCAAUGGAUUCGCAAUGGAUUCGUCUGAAAAAAAUUUCAUUAUUAUCGCUAAAAUGAAAAUAUUUUGUCUCACUUGCAAUCAUCUUCUAAUCUCUCAUUAAAAUUCAUAAUGCAGUUAUCUGUCACCACACUAUUCUUUUGAAAUAUUUCAAAAAUUCCAAUAGUUCCUGAUAUUGUUGAUACAAAUAUAGAAGAUAUGGAAGACUUCGUAAACAGGUUAAAGCAGCAUGUGAGAUUGUAUUAAAAAAAAAAAAAUCAUGUAGAACUGACUUUAAUUCAUUGUAUACGGACAUUUCAGCAUGAAUUGCAAUGCUGAGGCACUUUUGUUAUGCCAAACUUUUCCAAAGAGCACAACUGGAGAUAUUAGAGCACAUUGUGUCGUUUCUAAGAUGAUUUGCUCCAGUCAGUUGGUCAUAGUGGUGUACUGAAUUGAGUUAUGGUGAGCUUUUUGUUUCUUCAGCCUUGAACUUAGGUUGGAAUAUCUUGGUCUUGCAGAAUACGGUAUAUGGUAAGGCACUGAUCGCCACAGUCAAAUCAAAGGAGGUUUCUUGUUCAUGCUGCUAACAGGGGCAGUGCUUUCAUUGAGGGGCAGUGAGAUGAUAAUUGAAUACAAAGAUGCAAGACAAUGGCGACAUUUUAACAGGAAAAAUGAGGCAUUAAGUAUUUGUCCGUGUACUUUACAAACUGCUGUUUGCUGAUAAGCUGUGUAAGGUACUUUAGACUUAACCUAAUUUAUAUUAAAUAAAGCCCAGGUGUGCUGCACUUAUGCAGGCUGGCUAGACCUUCAUUCUCCCCACGGCAGUGGGGUAAUGAACAUUUUUUCUCCUUCACCAUUGUGCUUUAUCCUUUCUCUUGCUUUAUUCAAUUAAACCUUUUUAGCCUUCACAAUACAGAUUCCAAACUUUUACCCUCUGCCUGGCUGCGUCUUAUUGUAUUUUCUAGCCUGCUUCUCCCUUUUUACUGGCAAGGCUGGGAUUCGCUGUUCCAUGUUGUGUUCUGUAUUUGCAGCAUGUCUUGUAUUGCCUUAUGGAUGUUUUUGUAGUUUUUUUUGUUGUUGUUGUUGAAAGGUACCAUGGAGAUUCUCAGUUGUUUUUUCUCCAUGUCCUUAACAGGGCUUAACUUACCACCCCAUUAAACAGUCAUUUCGUAUGUGCGAUUGUGAUUACUGGAAUGUAGGUUGCUAUUAUUAAUCAUCUUUCCACUCGUACUGUUACAUUAAUCAUGUGAGGAGAUGAGAGUAUAAGUUUGGAUCUAGCAGGAUGACAGCUUCUUAUUCACAGUGGCACGAAAUCCAACUCACAGAGCAAGGAAUGACUUUCAGAGUCGUUUGCCCAUUUGCCAGUUUUGAUCCCUGUUCUGUGCCAUUCUGCAGCAGUAUGGACACGGAGAUUUCAUGAAUGAAACACAAGGUGCAGGAACAGUCGGAAAAAGCAGUUUGGCACAUUGUUUUUGCCAGGGUUCAGUAAUGGGUUUACCCUCGCACUCAGCCACCAGCAAGAAGGCAGUCCUGCUCUGCAGAGCUUCCCUCUGUGCACUCAGGAGCGGCUGUAGUUGUGCACACUGGGCUCGGUGGCUGCUCCCCUUUGUUCCCACAUGGCAUGUGCUCUGCUGCGGCCGUGCGCCCUCACAUCAUCCUGCAGGAAAUGUGCUGUCGUGCACAAGAGGAAGGAGCCUACCGCCUUUUCUGCACAUAAGCACGUCCUUUGGGGAAGUGUGCUUGCGGAGGAGCAAACAGGACAGUACAGCUGGAAACAGUCUGCUUGGAGAUAAUCAGAGCCCCAGCAGGAGCACCCUCUGAGCGCAGCUGCACAAUUCCCUUUGCUCUCUAGAAGGCACUGCACCCUACGUGCAGUUUCCAAGCUACAUUUAACACAAUUGCCCAUCAGCACUUAGGAAGCAGUUACCACAGAAACCCAGCGGAGACCAAUUAGUCACAUGAUUAAAUUAAUUAAAAUAACCCAGGGUAUCUGCCAUCUUACUUCUUUCUGCUACGAGUAGUGCAUGACCUAGACAGAGCAGUAAUUGGAUGGCAUUAUUGUGCCUUUUAAUCCUAGAAUCAUCUUCACGCUGUACGAGAGGUAGUCUUUGAUUUUUCCUUUUCCAUCGUUCUGCAUAAAUCCCUUCCCAGCGAUCUCUGUUACUCCCUUGCUGUGGAGAUGCAUUAUUCCUUUUCGGUAGAUCUGUACUAUUGCACAAAAACAUUCUCCAACCCCCUCAAUAAGCCAACUAGUAUCAAAUUUACAAAACAUCAGAUUUAACAACAGCGAGAUUUGUUAUGUUUGGGAUAAGAGGAUUUGGAAACAUUUUCAAUUGCACAGUUAAGACUUUUGGAGGUCUUUAAUGACAGCUCUAACAAUACUUGCCAGGGAGAGCUCUGUAGCCUGUAUUAGCACUUGACCUGAGAAUUGUAAAGCACUAAGAAAAGACUGUAUGUUGUGUCUUCAUUUCCCAAGUAAUUCAGUUAUUGCAGUGGGCGCGUUUAAGUGGAACAAGCUGUCUGAGUUGUAACACUGCGUCCUGGGAAAGGCAGGCAGUCCGAUGUCCUUGGUUGUUUUUAAAGCCUAGCAAUGCACAGCCACAUUCUAACUGAGUAAAUCACUCCUUUGUCCUUGGUUUUCUGCUGGCCUGACAAUGGCAUCCCCCAGACAUCCAUGUCAUCUAGGGUUUCCUUCUAUUAUACCGAUGUCAUGCUUCUGCAUGCGCACAAAUCAUCUUUACCUGAAACCACAUAAAACAUGGAACAUUGCAAUUUCCAUCUCAUCAGAGAUUUCCCAGUGACUGCUCUGAAGUUACCUUGAUCCAUUGCACCAAAGGGGGGGAAAAAAAAAGAAAGAAAAAAAAAAGCUAUUUCUGGCCACAGAGUAGAGAGCAGCUUGCCUCUCCAAAGCAGAUUCCAUACAAACAGUCUUGACAAAAUAGCAUGCAUAAAUUACAUGCCUCUGAUGCAUUAAUUCAUGCCUAACAGAGCAAGUGGCAAAAACACUACAUUUACAAUGGAUGGGUAUAGGAUGGAAGAAAUGAAGUCUGUGGGUUAAUGUAUAAAUAAUCAACAGUUGCAAAUAUUAUGGAAGAAAACGGCUUUGCACGUGCUGUACUGCUGAAGUGCCAUGAACAAACAUAUUUUAAAGACUUAGUUGGCUCUGACUAGCCUGUCAGAAGGGAUGUGCAUGUUUGGCAGUACUGGGACAGAGAUGCCUCAACAUGAGAUAGGAUCUUGUCAUGAAAGGAGGACUCUGAUCACCAGUCAUGGCAGUGACAUAAGUGAGCCUCCUCUAAGUCACAACACAUUCCUGAUGUAAAGCAAGCUUUGUGCCAGAUGUAGUCAGUAGUGUGCCCAAGUAGCCAAGAAGACUGAUGGCAUCCUGGCUUGUAUCAGAAAUAGUGUUGCCAGCAGGAGCAGGGAAGCGAUCAUUCCUCUGUACUCACCUCUGGUGAGGCUGCACCUCAAGCACUGUGUUCAGACUGGGGACCCUCACUACAAG